rnacentral:rRNA from 1 species
CCCUUAGAUGUUCUGGGCCGCACGCGUGCUACACUGAGUGGAUCAGCGGGUCAGGUUGCGCGAAAGUGUUUCCUAAUCUUUAAAUCCGCUCGUGAUGGGGAUUGGCGGUUGCAAUUUUCCGUCAUGAACGAGGAAUACCUUGUAAGCGCGGGUCAUCAUCCCGCGCUGAAUACGUCCCUGCCCUUUGUACACACCGCCCGUCGCUCCUACCGAUUGAGUGGUCCGGUGAGGCUUUGGGAUCUGAGCGGAAAGAGCGUUUCGCUGUUUCUGCCCGGAAAACUCAGUCGAACCUUAUCAUUUAGAGGAAGGAGAAGUCGUAACA